rnacentral:rRNA from 1 species
CGGGACGGGUGAGUAAUGUCUGGGAAACUGCCUGAUGGAGGGGGGUAACUACUGGAAACGGUAGCUAAUACCGCAUAACGUCGCAAGACCAAAGAGGGGGACCUUCGGGGCCUCUUGCCAUCGGAUGUGCCCAGAUGGGAUUAGCUAGUAGGUGGGGUAACGGCUCACCUAGGCGACGAUCCCUAGCUGGUCUGAGAGGAUGACCAGCCACACUGGAACUGAGACACGGUCCAG